AUUGAACGCUGGCGGCAGGCUUAACACAUGCAAGUCGAACGGUAACAGGAAGCAGCUUGCUGCUUCGCUGACGAGUGGCGGACGGGUGAGUAAUGUCUGGGAAGCUGCCUGAUGGAGGGGGAUAACUACUGGAAACGGUAGCUAAUACCGCAUAAUGUCGCAAGACCAAAGAGGGGGACCUUCGGGCCUCUUGCCCUCGGAUGUGCCCAGAUGGGAUUAGCUUGGUGGUGGGGUAACGGCUCACCAAGGCGACGAUCCCUAGCUGGUCUGAGAGGAUGACCAGCCACACUGGAACUGAGACACGGUCCAGACUCCUACGGGAGGCAGCAGUGGGGAAUAUUGCACAAUGGGCGCAAGCCUGAUGCAGCCAUGCCGCGUGUAUGAAGAAGGCCUUCGGGUUGUAAAGUACUUUCAGCGGGGAGGAAGGGAGUAAAGUUAAUACCUUUGCUCAUUGACGUUACCCGCAGAAGAAGCACCGGCUAACUCCGUG
rnacentral:rRNA from 1 species